UGAUUCAUUUAGUUGUUUUUCAGCUUUCUAAGUGCUUUUGAAAAGUGCUUUUAAAAUAAGCUAUUUUUGUUUUCUGCAGAUUACAGGUUUGAAGAGACUUGAUGUAAUGGAAGGUGGCUGCUACAAGCUUCAAGACAACCUGUUUUCGUGACUAAGUCCAAAGUGAUUUCAUCUUAAUUGCUUGGUUUUGGUCAUUAGGAACUUAUUCCCAUUUGUAGCAAAUUUCAAUGUAAUUACAUUGGGUUUUUUUUAAAGACAAAUGUGUGCUUGGAUUAUGUAACUUAUUGAAUUAAAAGUCUGAUAACCAUUAAUAAUUAUGUAUUCAACCUUUUAAUCUUUCAAAA
rnacentral:lncRNA from 1 species